rnacentral:rRNA from 1 species
GACGAACGCUGGCGGCGUGCCUAAUACAUGCAAGUCGAACGCUGAAGGAGGAGCUUGCUUCUCUGGAUGAGUUGCGAACGGGUGAGUAACGCGUAGGUAACCUGCCUGGUAGCGGGGGAUAACUAUUGGAAACGAUAGCUAAUACCGCAUAAUAGUAGAUGUUGCAUGACAUUUGCUUAAAAGGUGCAAUUGCAUCACUACCAGAUGGACCUGCGUUGUAUUAACUAGUUGGUGGGGUAACGGCUCACCAAGGCGACGAUACAUAGCCGGCCUGAGAGGGUGGUCGGCCACACUGGGACGGAGACACGGCCCAGACUCCCACGGGAGGCAGCAGUAGGGGAUCUUGGGCAAGGGCCGGAAGGUUGACCGAGCAACGCCGCGUGAGUGAAGAAGGGUUUCGGAUCGUAAAGCUCUGUUGUGAGAGAAGAACGAGUGUGAGAGUGGAAAGUUCACACUGUGACGGUAUCUUACCAGAAAGGGACGGCUAACUACGUG